AUGAAGGGCGGUGGCGGUCGGGCUCCUGGGUGUGAGGCUAGAGAAGGCCAAGCAGAGCACGCCGUCGCCAUCGCAACCAGCUGCGCCUUGGGCGAUGCCGACGAGCUCCAAUGGGUUGACGCCACCAAUGUGCUUCGGUGGAUCGAUCCGGCACCAGGAACCGUGAGCACCAGGCCCACCUACCCCGCCACCGGCACCGCCUCCUCAUAA
rnacentral:rRNA from 1 species